AUGGCUCAGAACGAACGCUGGUGGCGUGUCUUAUACAUGCAAGUCGAGCGAGGCAGCGAUGCCGAGCGGCGAACGGGUGAGUAACGCGUAAGCAAUCUGCCCCAUAUCAGGAAAUACCCGUGCCAACGCGCGGUUAAUGUCCAGGAGAGUGGUCUUCCGCAUGGAGGGUUGACUAGAGAUUUAUCGGUAUGGGAUGAGCUUGCGUCCGAUUAGCUAGUUGGCGGGGCAACGGCCCACCAAGGCGACGAUCGGUAGCCGGCCUGAGAGGGUGAUCGGCCACAUUGGGACUGAGAUACGGCCCAGACUCCUACGGGAGGCAGCAGUAGGGAAUAUUGCACAAUGGGGGAAACCCUGAUGCGGCAACGCCACGUGUGGGAAGAAGCAUUUCGGUGUGUAAACCACUGUCAUGAGGGAAUAAGGCCCUUAUCCGUAAGGGAUUGAAUGUACCUUGAGAGGAAGCACCGGCAAACUUCGUGCCAGCCGCGGC
rnacentral:rRNA from 1 species